rnacentral:rRNA from 1 species
UUUUCAAAUCAGUGAAAUUAAUCUCCCCGUGAAGAAGCGGGGAUACUCAUAUAAGACGAGAAGACCCCAUGGAGCUUCAAACCCAACUACACCCCUAGCUCUUAUAGCCCCACAACCCCCCUAGGCACCGUGUGCUUGGUUUUAGGUUGGGGCGACCGCGGAGUACAAUAAAACCUCCACAAUGAAUGGGAACACCCCCUUAUCUGAGGGCCACACCCCCUAAGAAUUAGAACACUAACAUAAAAUGAUCCAUUACUUGAUCAAUGAACCAAGUUACCCUGGGGAUAACAGCGCAAUCCAUUUCAAGAGCCCCUAUCGACAAAUGGGUUUACGACCUCGAUGUUGGAUCAGGGUACCCCAGUGGUGCAGCAGCUACUAACGGUUCGUUUGUUCAACGAUUAAAACCCU